AAGUGGUUUGUGUGGGGCACAGAGAAAUUCAAAUAUUAUUACAGUGUUUCAAAAUAAAGUAAAUGGUGGGAUGUCAUGCAAAUUAAUUGAUUGUGUGCAAGUGCAUUGCACUCGUUCGCCGUUUUUGUGCUUUUUCGAAAUACGUUCAGUGCGUUUAACGAACUUUUUGGCUUCAGCUGAAAAAACACCUGUACAGUGGGAAAAAUUGGUUGUGCGCUCGCCCAAUGGAGCAAUAAAGACGAUGGCAUUGGAAUACGUUUUAUUUUGAGCAGUGCUCUACUCAAAUCGAGCAGCCGACCUCAGUCAGUGACACAUUUUAUUCAAAUCGCUCGCUUACAAGGUUGCCUUAUGGGAAGGAGGGGGUAUGGUGGUAUGGCGGUAUGGCGGUAUGGGGUAUGAGAUUCGAUGUAGCGCCCAAGGCGAACCACGUAAAUAGAUCGAGAUCGAGGCAAGAAAUCAAAGCAUGUAUAGAAUCGGACAGCAGACAUACUUUGAUCUUAAUUAUUCAGAUACGUUUGAUACGCUUGAUGAACGACCUUGCUGCUUACGAUGUCAGCACAGCCAAUAGCAAACAAUCUCGAAUGGGUAAACAACAAAGCAUUAGAUCCCUGAGUACUUCCAUAUCACUUCACACUUCCGCCAGACAAGAGCUGUUCCCAAAAGCCCGCGAUUAAAACUUAAGCAAACGCAAAGCCGGAGGAAACCAAUCUACAUAUAAACACUUGGGCAAACAUCGCCAUAUUGUGUGCUAGUUUAGUUGGACCCAAGGAAAAUCCAAAGAUUGCCGCCUGCAGUAGAGUAGCUAAUGCUUUCUCCUGCUUCGGAAACCAAAACAAAAACUUCAGAUGGCGUAAACAAUCCGCUGAUAGAUGACAUAAACCCAGCUAAACCAAACACUCGAAAACUACCCAAUGGCGAUGGUAAAUAAAGCCCCGACAAUUGGCUCCAGAUGUGGUUGGUUAGUCAAAAGAUUCCAAGUAUCUGGCAGUGAUGAGGGAUCGCCUUGUUAUUUUUAGAAACGCAACAAGGAGGAAAUCACAAGAAUUAGCUGCCCCUGAGCCACUGGCGCCAAGGGUUUCGUCUGUGAUACUAUUCCGAUCGUCCUCUAUCUGCAUACGUGAAUGGCCACAAGUGAGGGCUUUAAAGCGUUUAACCUGCUUCAUGGCAAACCAGAUAAACAAGGCUGCUUAUUAGCAAAACAAACAGCUGCUAAAAGCAAGUACGUACGAGUGGAGAAAUCCGAAAUAAAAAUACAUCUUUACUAGCAAAAUUAACUUUACGGAGUUGCGUUAUUGGGCAAUCCAAGUCCAUAUACCAAUUUUUCAACGGUGAUUCGCACUUUGAGAAUCCGAAUUCGAUGACUCUGGCUUUUAAUCAUAAUCAGGUCAGAAAUUCAUUUAGACAUUCGACCGCGCCCUGAAUCAUCUUCCAAUGCGCCACCAUAGCCAUGAUUCAGAUGCGGAUUAUGUGACACACAGGGAGUGUAUGUGACGCCAUUGAAAAUGCCCCCCGAAAUAUUUGUGCAUUGACAGCAAAGACUUCCGUUUUGUGGGGUUUCUCAUGAUCAGUUCUAUUUAUAAGACCCAGACAAAAACAGCGAAUAACAAUAACCGAAUGAAACUAGCUUUGGGCCCGCAAUUCAAGGUCGCCCACCCACCAAAAACCCGUUUCAAGGGUCGGGGGCGAUCCACCAAAGUUUUUGGCUACAAAGCUGCUGAGCAAGCACAAAAGAAACAGUGAGAUCGCGGCUUAAAAAGCUUAAAAGCAAAAUCAGAGAAAAGCUUCCGCUGCAAGUAAGCGAUAACGGUAAGGCACAGGGGUUAAAGUUCAACUUUAUGCUUUGCUGAGCAUAAACACAAAGAAAACAAUGAAAAAAGCAUAUCAGUGGGCAACAUGGGUCGAAAGUGUACAUGGUU